CUGUGUACUCUCUCCCUUUAAACUUUUGAACCAAUUAGUAGUCUGAGAAGGCCAUGUGCCAUAAAAUUUAAACAUGUUAAAACUUUCAACAACGGAUCUCUUGGCUCUCGCAUCGAUGAAGAACGCAGCGAAAUGCGAUAAGUAAUGUGAAUUGCAGAAUUCAGUGAAUCAUCGAAUCUUUGAACGCACAUUGCGCCCUUUGGUAUUCCUUAGGGCAUGCCUGUUCGAGCGUCACUAAAAACCCCCUCACAGAUAAUGUGGUAUUGGUAGAAGUGGAUAGUACUAACACUACUUUGUCUGACUCUACUGAAAUGAAUAGGCCAGGGAAGUUGACCGUGGUAAUAGACUCCAGGAGUGUUUUAAAACGCUAAAUUAGUCUUCUCCAAGUCAUGUUCUGAGCUAUCGGACCCCCCAUUUAGUCCAAACUAGAGAGGUUGACCUCGGAUCAGGUAGGGAUACCCGCUGAACUUAAGCAUAUCAAUAA
rnacentral:rRNA from 1 species